UACGUAGGGUGCAAGCGUUGUCCGGAAUCAUUGGGCGUAAAGAGCGUGUAGGCGGCCCGAUAAGUCCGCUGUGAAAGUCCAGGGCUCAACCCUGGGAUGCCGGUGGAUACUGUCGGGCUCGAGUCCGGAAGAGGAGUGUGGAAUUCCUGGUGUAGCGGUGAAAUGCGCAGAUAUCAGGAGGAACACCAAUGGCGAAGGCAGCACUCUGGGACGUGACUGACGCUGAGACGCGAAAGCGUGGGGAGCAAACAGG
rnacentral:rRNA from 1 species